ACCCGCUGAACUUAAGCAUAUCAAUAAGCGGAGGAAAAGAAACCAACCGGGAUUACCUCAGUAACGGCGAGUGAAGCGGUAACAGCUCAAAUUUGAAAUCUGGCUCUUGCGGAGUCCGAGUUGUAAUUUGUAGAAGAUGCUUUGGGUUGUGGGUUCGGCCUAAGUUCCUUGGAACAGGACGUCAUAGAGGGUGAGAAUCCCGUAUGUGGCCGAGGCCCGCGCCUAUGUAAAGCUCUUUCAACGAGUCGAGUUGUUUGGGAAUGCAGCUCAAAAUGGGUGGUAAAUUUCAUCUAAAGCUAAAUAUGGGCCAGAGACCGAUAGCGCACAAGUAGAGUGAUCGAAAGAUGAAAAGCACUUUGGAAAGAGAGUUAAACAGUACGUGAAAUUGUUGAAAGGGAAGCGCUUGCAACCAGACUUGGGCGCUGCCGAUCACCUUGAGUUUUCUCGAGUGCACUCGACAGCGCACAGGCCAGCAUCGGUUCGGGUGGCUGGAUAAAGGCCGUAGGAAUGUGGCUCUCUUCGGGGAGUGUUAUAGCCUACGGUGCCAUGCAGCCCAGCCGGACCGAGGACCGCGCCUUCGGGCUAGGAUGCUGGCGUAAUGGUUGUAAGCGACCCGUCUUGAAACACGGACCAAGG
rnacentral:rRNA from 1 species